rnacentral:lncRNA from 1 species
UGGAUGAUUGGGAUGGUCUCCGAUCUAUUUUGGUAUGAUUUAUGUGAAAUUGUAGUUUUCUGUUGCUUUGAGAGCCUUAUAGUUGACUUCGUUCAACAUUUAUUGAUUUGUGUAUCAGAUGGAAAAACAAACUACAAAAAUAGAUCCAAAAUACCUAUUUUAGGUUAGUAACAUGGAUGGUGUGGUUUAAUGGCUUCUAAAUCUUAUUUCAAC